GUUGAUUGUUGUGACAAUGAUGCUGCUGGGGAAGCAAACAGUUUUUGACUGUGCAAGAAUUUAUGUUUACGGUUUUUAUUUUGUGGUUUAUGUUCUGCGUUUUGUCAAAGUCAACUUAUUGGAAGUGAUGGACAAUUCAACAGAAAUGAUUGCAAUUCACUGACUCAGCACCUGCGUCACCAAUUCCUCCUAUCUUCAGAAAGGGUGUACACCACGGUAUGCCAUGGUCAGAGUGGGUGUAAAUGUCUGGAACUUUUUCCUUUCAAGUUUUGGUUUGAUAGAUCACAUAUUUGGUGGAGAAAAGUGUGUGCGCACAAAAUGGGGGGAAAAAGGUGUAAAAAAAAAAAAAAAAAAAAAAAAGGUGUAUUCACAAUGAUAAAUGAGGCCCCAGAACGCAAGGCCACGUUUGGUGCCAUGUAAAUCAAGAUAUGCGACGUUAUUUGGCCAUGGUGAUCGCUGCUUGCUGUUGGUUUGCAGGACUUCUGUUUUCUGCUGAUGUUGUUUUUUAUCUAUGUAUACUGUCUUGGUUCGUCAUGUCAGAGGUAGUGAGUUUUGGAGUAUAGACAUUUGUUUGUUUUUGCAUCUUCAGCACCAAGGACAGCGCUUAAAGUGAUUUUGUUAUAACCGCUGCCUGUAACAGGCUCGGGGACAUCUUCAGCACCAAGGACAGCGCUCAAACUACGGUAGUUCUUUUCUGCUUUUGUCAUGUGGUGAAUUCUACUGUUGGCCUCCUUAUGGAAAAAAAAUUAAUAAAAUUUGCAUUUGUUAGAACUUAGUGGCGAUGUGUGAUGCGCUAUACAGCAGGAAAAAAAAUACAAUGAUAUCACUCAUUCAUUCAUUCAGUUGGCAGCCCCCGCUACUUAAAACAUCUUCCCGUGUGUGGGGAAUACCACGAUGUGUUUUCCAAAUAAGGGCAUGUACGUCACAUAUAGCAGAUGAUGUGAUUUCCCGUUGAUGAGAUAAACGCAACUGUCCUCACAGUCCGCCAUAGAGACAUUGCAGCUGUUCAGUGGUACCGCUGCUCUGUGUUUACUGAAAGGGGGAAGUUGCCUGGUCCCCCCUGAAAUGUAACUUUACUGCGGUCAGAUUUUUGGGAGGUCGAACUAAUGGGUAGUCGAACCACUGAGUGGUCAGACUGACGCCAUGCACCCAUUGGGUAGCUUCUUAAACUAGCCUACACAAUUCAAUUCAAUUUUCAAUUCAAUUUUAUGUAGAAAGCCCAAUAUCACAAAUCACAAUUUGCCUCACAGGGCUUUACAGCAUACAACAUCCCUCUGUCCUUAUGACCCUCACAGCUGAUCAGGAAAACAAUAGUAGAAACCUCAGGAAGAGCAACUGAGGAGGGAUCCCUCUUCCAGGACGGACAGACGUGCAAUAGAUGUCGUACAGAACAGAUCAGCAUAAUAAAUUAACAGUAAUCCGCAUGACACAAUGAGACAGAGAGAGAGAGAGAGAGAGAGAGAGAGAGAGAGAGGG